AUUAAUUGAUGGUGCUGCCGCUGCUGCUGCUGCUGUUGUUGCAGGUUCACUUGGAGGCGUGUCCGACUCACUUGACUUGGCAUUGGGCAGAUUUUUCUGGCCUUUAUUGCUGCUGCUGCUGCUGCUGCCGCUGCCGCUGUUGCUGUUGCGUUUGAGGGAAAAUGUGUUGCGAACGCGCGAAAAUGUGGACAGCUGUUGCUGUGGCGGCGGCUGCUGCUGCUGUUGCGGCAGUGAUUGUUGCGCCUCACUAAGCUGCAACGAGUUGAAAGAACUCUGCAGCGGCUGCUGUUCAAAUACAUUA
rnacentral:sRNA from 1 species